rnacentral:misc_RNA from 1 species
GAAAUGCGAUAAGUAAUGUGAAUUGCAGAAUUCAGUGAAUCAUCGAAUCUUUGAACGCACCUUGCGCUCCUUGGUAUUCCUUGGAGCAUGCCUGUUUGAGUAUCAUGAAAUCUUCAAAGUAAAUCUUUUGUUAACUCAAUUGGUUUCUACUUUGGUAUUGGAGGUCUUUGCAGCUUCACACCUGCUCCUCUUUGUUCAUUAGCUGGAUCUCAGUGUUAUGCUUGGUUCCACUCGGCGUGAUAAGUUAUCUAUCGCUGAGGACACUGUAAAAGGUGGCCAAGGUAAAUGCAGAUGAACCGCUUCUAAUAGUCCAUUGACUUGGACAAUAAUUUUAUGAUCUGAUCUCAAAUCAGGUAGGACUAGCCGCUGAACUUAAGC